CUUCCAUUGGCUGUCAACAGCCUUUAGAAACUUGUUUCAUGUGUCUCCUGUUACUGGGCAGAGAAUAGAAGCUCAGUCUAUCAGUGGACUGCCUGGGACCAGUGAGUUGUUUACUGUGCGGGCACGUUUGGCGCCCUGCUCCUUCUUUUUCUUCUGUAAUGAAUACGCUAUUGUCCGGUUGGAAUAUUAUCGACGUUUUAUGUUAAAAAGACCCUAAGGAUUGAUUGUAAACAUCGCUUGACAUGUUUCUACGAACGGGAACCCCAGCAGUAGUGAUGGGAAGUUUGGCUCUUUUUACUGACUCAGAUCUUUUUGACUCCUUCAGUCAAAAGAACAAAUCUUUUGACUCAUUUGAGCCAGUAAUGCCCAGAGCACGCAGGACCCUCUACCAGUGAACGAUGAACUGAAAACUCAAAAGAGUCAUGAUUCUACAAGCCUCUCGUUCACAUGUCAUUCACCAUAAGGGGCUUAUUGGAGCUGUCAUUUGUGACUGAAACUUUUAAACGUGUGCUUCAUACAAUGCAGGAUGUAGUUGUUGAUUGCUAGCCAUACAAAUAAGGUUUCUUGAAACAUUUGAAACAAGGUCUAGUUGUGGCCGCAGCUGGACUUCAUUGUGAACAACUCUUGGCGGAACGCAUUGCUUGACUGCCGUGAGAUGAUAAGCACAAUGCCGUUCGCAAGUUCGAGUUUGUUGAGCAGAGGCUGUGUAUAUUUUGGUUGUGCAAAGCUGUGUCCAUAACAUUCAAUAAUCAGUCAUUUGCAGUCAUUCUUGCACCAUCCAAUCAAUUAUCAGUUCUUAACAUGUUUUUUUCUUCUAUAUGCUUAUGAUACUCGUGGUCCCGUGUGGCUCAGUUGGUAGACAUGGUGUUUGCAAUGCCAGGGUUGUGGGUUCGAUUCCCAUGGGGGACCAGUAUGAAAAUAAAAAAAAAAGAAGAAAAAAAAUGUAUGAAAUGUAUGCAUUCACUACUGUAAGUUGCUCUGGAUAAGAGUGUCUGCUAAAUGACUAAAAUGUAAAUUAUCUAUUUCCCUGCAAGGA
rnacentral:lncRNA from 1 species